rnacentral:rRNA from 1 species
GUCUUUUUGAGUUAUUUUUAAAGUCUGACCUGCCCACUGAUUUUUUAAAUGGCCGCAGUAUUCUAACUGUGCAAAGGUAGCAUAAUCAUUAGUCUUUUAAUUGAAGGCUGGUAUGAACGGUUGGACGAGGUAUAAGCUGUUUCAUAUAAAUUUAUAGUAGAAUUUUAUAUUUUAGUCAAAAAGCUAAAAUAUAAUUAAAAGACGAGAAGACCCUAUAAAUCUUUAUAUUUUAUAUAAUUUAAAUUUUUUAGAUUUAUUUUAUUUUUAUUAUAUUGAAUAUUUUGUUGGGGUGAUAUUAAAAUUUAAUGAACUUUUAAUUGUAUUUAAGUCAUUAAUUUAUGAAUUAUUGAUCCAUUAAUAGUGAUUAUAAGAUUAAGUUACUUUAGGGAUAACAGCGUAAUUUUUUUGGAGAGUUCUAUCGAUAAAAAAGUUUGCGACCUCGAUGUUGGAUUAAGAUAUAAUUUUAGGUGUAGCCGCUUAAAUGUUAAGUCUGUUCGACUUUUAAAUUCUU